rnacentral:tRNA from 1 species
GGAGAGGUAGCUGAGGCAGGCUCAGAGCGGCACGGCAGCGUGCUGAUGCGGGUUCGACUCCCGCCUUCUCCA